UACGUAGGGGGCAAGCGUUGUCCGGAUUUAUUGGGCGUAAAGAGCGUGUAGGCGGCCUGACAGGUCUGCUGUGAAAACUCGAGGCUCAACCUCGAGAUGUCGGCGGAAACCGUCUGGCUAGAGUCCGGAAGAGGAGAGUGGAAUUCCUGGUGUAGCGGUGAAAUGCGCAGAUAUCAGGAGGAACACCGGUGGCGAAGGCGGGAUCCUGGGCCAGUACUGACGCUGAGGAGCGAAAGCGUGGGGAGCAAACAGG
rnacentral:rRNA from 1 species